AUGGAUUUCAUCACUGGGUUUCCCAGGACCAAGAGAGGGAAUAAUGCCAUCUUCGUUGUGAUCGACCGACUUUCCAAAGUAGCCCACUUUCUACCUGUUCGUGAGAGUAUCACCGCUAGCCAGCUAGCCGAUUUAUACAUCUCCCGAAUAGUGUCUCUUCAUGGUGUCCCAUUGGAAAUUAACUCAGACCGUGGGAGUCUCUUCACCUCUCAAUUUUGGGAAAGUUUCCAAAAUGCUAUGGGAACUCAUCUCUCUUUUAGUACCGCCUUCCAUCCUCAAUCAAGUGGUCAAGUGGAGCGAGUCAAUCAAAUUCUGGAAGAUAUUCUCCGAGCUUCUGUUAUCUCGUUCGGAAUGAGUUGGGAGAAAUGCCUUCCAUUCGCGGAGUUUGCUUAUAACAAUAGUUAUCAAGCUACCUUGGGCAAAGCUCCUUUCGAAGUUCUUUAUGGACGAAAAUGUCGAACACCUCUUAACUGGUCAGAAACCGGGGAAAGACAACUCUUUGGCCCGGAUAUGAUUCAGGAAGCAGACGAGCAGGUUCGCGUUAUUCGUGAGAAAUUGAAAACAGCCCAAUCUCGUCAAAAGAGUCAAUAUGAUCGUAAACAUAAGCCUAUGACUUAUGAAGUCAACGAGAAGGCUUACCUUCGAGUUACUCCAUUAAAGGGAACCCAUCGUUUCGGUAUCAAAGGCAAAUUGGCUCCUCGUUACAUUGGACCCUUUCGCAUUCUUGCCAAACGAGGAGAAGUUGCCUACCAAUUGGAACUACCUCCGCAUCUUUCCAGAGUUCACGAUGUCUUCCACGUUUCACAACUCAGGCGUUGCUUCGCGGAUCCUAUCCAUGGAGUGGACCAGGAAACGCUUGAUCUACAAGAUAACCUCUCUUAUCGGGAAUAUCCCGUUCGUAUCCUUGAUCAAGCCGAGCGUACCACUCGACGUCAUAAUAUCAAGUUUCUCAAGGUUCAAUGGUCACACCAUUUCGAGGAAGAAGCCACUUGGGAAAGGGAGGAUCGUCUUCGACUCGAGUACCCCACCUUCUUUCCAGAGGAUCCUAAAUCUUGGGACGAGAUUCUUUUGAGUGGGGGUGAGUUGUCACACCCUAGCUAG
rnacentral:rRNA from 1 species